rnacentral:lncRNA from 1 species
UCACUUGAAUGGGCGGGUUCUCUCUCCUCUGAAAGAACCAAGAAUGCUCAGAGCCUUCCUUUCCUUCUCCGAGCAUCCCACCUCUCUCCGCCUCCGCCUCGGUUCCUUUCCUUCUCCGUGCAUCCCACCUCUCUCCGCCUCCGCCUCCGGACCUCCUCCUCCGCCUCCGGACCUCCGCCUCUGCCUCGGUCGCUGGUCCUCUGCCUCUGGCAUCUCGGUCUCGUUCCCGAGCGGCACCAGGCUCCCCGCCGCUGACCGGGCGCUGUCCUGACGCUGGCCGCUCGGUCGCGAGGGAGAUCUCGGCGGAUUUGGGCGGGGUCGACGGCGCGGCGAAGAAGGAGAGGCCUGCUGCAUUUUCUCUCUCUUUCUCGGUGAUUUCAGGCUCGACGUCGAAGCAGAGAAGGAGGAAGAACAAGAACGAGAUGAAGGAGAAGAAGGAGAAGAUGGGUCCUUGCUUUUCUGCUUCUGGGUUUAUCUCUUGAAGUCCGCCACUUUCCCUUUUUCCAUCUUUUUUUCGUCCCUUUUUGGUUCGUUGGUUUUUGAUGGGAGGG